rnacentral:rRNA from 1 species
GUACACUCCUGCGGGAGGCAGCAGUGGGGAAUUUUGGACAAUGGGCGAAAGCCUGAUCCAGCAAUGCCGCGUGAGUGAAGAAGGCCUUCGGGUUGUAAAGCUCUUUUGUCAGGGAAGAAACGGUGAGAGCUAAUAUCUCUUGCUAAUGACGGUACCUGAAGAAUAAGCACCGGCUAACUACGUGCCAGCAGCCGCGGUAAUACGUAGGGUGCAAGCGUUAAUCGGAAUUACUGGGCGUAAAGCGUGCGCAGGCGGUUUUGUAAGUCUGAUGUGAAAUCCCCGGGCUCAACCUGGGAAUUGCAUUGGAGACUGCAAGGCUAGAAUCUGGCAGAGGGGGGUAGAAUUCCACGUGUAGCAGUGAAAUGCGUAGAUAUGUGGAGGAACACCGAUGGCGAAGGCAGCCCCCUGGGUCAAGAUUGACGCUCAUGCACGAAAGCGUGGGGAGCAAACAGGAUUAGAUACCCCAGUAGUCCCAUGA